GUAGACAUAGUUCAAUAAGAACAUCAGAUUGUGAUUCUGAAAAUAGAGGUUAAAACCCUCUUGUCCACC
rnacentral:tRNA from 1 species